rnacentral:lncRNA from 1 species
AACUCGGUUGUGUCGAAAUCUGCGAUGAGUCGAAGUAAUUUCUCGGUCCCCGUAAAAUUCCCGUUUGAUCAAUGCAUAAUUACCUCUGAAGAGUCGAACUUGGUUGAUUCAAAUACUCGGUUAAGUCGAGUAAAUUUUAUAGUCCCGUCGAAGUAAAAUAAUGUAAAUUGACCCCGAUGUCUCGAACUUCGAAAGUAAGAAUUUUUGAAAGAUGCACCCCUAAUCAUAAAAAUUCAAAUCGGAUGUAUUUCUUAUGUCAACUAAUCAUUUUCAAAAGAGAUUAAAGCUGAAUAAACAUACUUGUUUGUAUAACAGUUAAAAUGACAUGUUUAUAGUGACCGCUAAUUAACACCUUUGUUGAUCGUUCAAGGGGAAUGUUAGUGUGUUGAACAUUUUUUAACUGAGAUAAAACGAAACAAAUUUAAUUGACCCAAGCCGAGAUAAAAUGAAUCGUUAGAUUU